rnacentral:tRNA from 1 species
GCCCCCAUAGCUCAGCUGGAUAGAGCGUCCCCCUCCUAAGGGGAAGGUCUCAGGUUCAAAUCCUGAUGGGGGCGCCA